GCAGUGGUCGUCCAGUAGCAGAAUUCCUACCUUCCAUGCAGGAGACCUGGGUUCAGUUCCUGGCCAGUGCA
rnacentral:tRNA from 1 species